AGAUCUUGGGUACUUAUAUAGGAUCAAGGAACCCAAAUAAUACCUUUAGGUGAGGUUCCGAGUUGUUACAGUUCAAUAUUAAGACAUUAAAGGUCCAAAGCGAUGAAGAAAAUUGGGUUCAUUCCUACUUCAUGUCUGAUUUAAACGGUCGGGGUGUGUGUGUGUGUGUAGACUAAGGAUACUCUAAUUUAUGUAAAUCCUUAUCAACUUCCACAUGAUGUCGGGCUGAUGGAAGACAACUCAAAAUUCGUGCAACCACGAGCUCUUCGUCUCUUUUGGCGGGCGAACAUGUAUCCUAAUAUUGGACCACGUACGACAUGCUCAGGGGCCCAACUAAUAGACCAACCGAUCAGACGUGCGGUGGAUGCCGUGUUCUUGGGUUAAUGGGGCGGCAGAUGGAUGAGGUCCAAGAGAACGCACGGACGCCAUGGCUCCUUGUCGGCUGAAUCCAGUUGC
rnacentral:lncRNA from 1 species